CUGAUACUAGCUGCCUGCCCCUCUGAUGGAAUUGAAGGUUUAACCCUUGUCACUCUGUCCACCCAGGCUGGAGCGUAAUGGCACGAUCUCAGCUCACUGCAACCUCCAUCUCCAGGGUUCAAGCAAUUCUCCUGCCUCAGCCUCUCGAGUAAGUGGGACUACAGGCAUGUGCCACCACGCCCGGUUAAUUUUUUUUGUAUUUUUACUAGAGACAGGUUUUCACCAUGUUGGCCAGGCUAGUAUCAAACUCCUGACCUCAGGUAAUCUGCCCACCUCGGCCUCCCAAAGUGUUGGGAUUACAGGUGUGAGCCACUGCACCCAUUUUCUAAUCUCCAGUGAAACCAACUUCAUAAAGGCUGUGGCAUUUCUUCCAAGACACUACGAUGAAGAUGACAUCAUCAGGAGACUUAGGGAAAGCUACGACUUUUCAAGUAACUAAAGUGGGUGACCCUCACUACUUUGUGGGCUCAAUAGCUGUGUCUUCAUUUAUAAAAAUAAAAU
rnacentral:lncRNA from 1 species